CCUACGGGAGGCUGCAGUGGGGAAUAUUGCACAAUGGGCGCAAGCCUGAUGCAGCCAUGCCGCGUGUGUGAAGAAGGCCUUCGGGUUGUAAAGCACUUUCAGCGGGGAGGAAGGCGUUAAGGUUAAUAACCUUGGCGAUUGACGUUACCCGCAGAAGAAGCACCGGCUAACUCCGUGCCAGCAGCCGCGGUAAUACGGAGGGUGCAAGCGUUAAUCGGAAUUACUGGGCGUAAAGCGCACGCAGGCGGUCUGUCAAGUCGGAUGUGAAAUCCCCGGGCUCAACCUGGGAACUGCAUUCGAAACUGGCAGGCUAGAGUCUUGUAGAGGGGGGUAGAAUUCCAGGUGUAGCGGUGAAAUGCGUAGAGAUCUGGAGGAAUACCAGUGGCGAAGGCGGCCCCCUGGACAAAGACUGACGCUCAGGUGCGAAAGCGUGGGGAGCAAACAGGAUUAGAUACCCGUGUAGUC
rnacentral:rRNA from 1 species